rnacentral:sRNA from 1 species
UGAUGUGGUUCGCAAAAACGCCUUAAAA